CCUACGGGAGGCAGCAGUGGGGAAUAUUGGACAAUGGGGGCAACCCUGAUCCAGCCAUGCCGCGUGUGUGAAGAAGGCCCUCGGGUUGUAAAGCACUUUCAGUGAGGAAGAACGCCUGGUGGUUAAUACCCAUCAGGAAAGACAUCACUCACAGAAGAAGCACCGGCUAACUCCGUGCCAGCAGCCGCGGUAAUACGGAGGGUGCGAGCGUUAAUCGGAAUUACUGGGCGUAAAGCGCGCGUAGGUGGCUUGAUAAGCCGGUUGUGAAAGCCCCGGGCUCAACCUGGGAACGGCAUCCGGAACUGUCCAGCUAGAGUGCAGGAGAGGAAGGUAGAAUUCCCGGUGUAGCGGUGAAAUGCGUAGAGAUCGGGAGGAAUACCAGUGGCGAAGGCGGCCUUCUGGACUGACACUGACACUGAGGUGCGAAAGCGUGGGUAGCAAACAGGAUUAGAUACCCCAGUAGUC
rnacentral:rRNA from 1 species